AUUGAACGCUGGCGGCAGGCUUAACACAUGCAAGUCGAGCGGGGUGAUGGUGCUUGCACUAUCACUUAGCGACGGACGGGUGAGUAAUGCUUAGGAAUCUGCCUAUUAGUGGGGGACAACAUCUCGAAAGGGAUGCUAAUACCGCAUACGUCCUACGGGAGAAAGCAGGGGAUCACUUGUGACCUUGCGCUAAUAGAUGAGCCUAAGUCGGAUUAGCUAGUUGGUGGGGUAAAGGCCUACCAAGGCGACGAUCUGUAGCGGGUCUGAGAGGAUGAUCCGCCACACUGGGACUGAGACACGGCCCAGACUCCUACGGGGGGCAGCAGUGGGGAAUAUUGGACAAUGGGAGGAACCCUGAUCCAGCCAUGCCGCGUGUGUGAAGAAGGCCUUAUGGUUGUAAAGCACUUUAAGCGAGGAGGAGGCUCUUUUGGUUAAUACCCAAGAUGAGUGGACGUUACUCGCAGAAUAAGCACCGGCUAACUCUGUGCCAGCCGCCGCCGUAA
rnacentral:rRNA from 1 species